rnacentral:rRNA from 1 species
UACGGAGGGGGCUAGCGUUGUUCGGAAUUACUGGGCGUAAAGCGCGCGUAGGCGGCUUUGUAAGUUAGAGGUGAAAGCCUGGAGCUCAACUCCAGAACUGCCUUUAAGACUGCAUCGCUAGAAUCGUGGAGAGGUGAGUGGAAUUCCGAGUGUAGAGGUGAAAUUCGUAGAUAUUCGGAAGAAACACCAGUGGCGAAGGCGACUCACUGGACACGUAUUGACGCUGAGGUGGACGAAAGCGUGGGGAGCA